rnacentral:rRNA from 1 species
UACACUCCUACGGGAGGCAGCAGUGGGGAAUAUUGGACAAUGGGCGCAAGCCUGAUCCAGCCAUGCCGCGUGAGUGAUGAAGGCCCUAGGGUUGUAAAGCUCUUUCACCGGUGAAGAUAAUGACGGUAACCGGAGAAGAAGCCCCGGCUAACUUCGUGCCAGCAGCCGCGGUAAUACGAAGGGGGCUAGCGUUGUUCGGAUUUACUGGGCGUAAAGCGCACGUAGGCGGACUAUUAAGUCAGGGGUGAAAUCCCGGGGCUCAACCCCGGAACUGCCUAUGAUACUGGUAGUCUUGAGUUCGAGAGAGGUGAGUGGAAUUCCGAGUGUAGAGGUGAAAUUCGUAGAUAUUCGGAGGAACACCAGUGGCGAAGGCGGCUCACUGGCUCGAUACUGACGCUGAGGUGCGAAAGCGUGGGGAGCAAACAGGAUUAGAUACCCCGGUAGUCCC